UUCCUGUAACCGUCAACGUUUCGUUUCAAUUUUAACUUCCUGUUUCAAAUUUCGGUUUUCAUAUUUCUUCAAGUAACUUAAAAUGAUUCUGCAGCUCUAUGAUGAUAAAAUCAUCUACCGAGAAUAGAGAUUGAUUACGAGAAGGGCAUGAAAUAAUAGGCUUUCAAGUUAUACUCUGUAUCCAUCUCUGCAAAUCACGGAAUGACACAAAUUGUUAUGAUAAGAAAACGGUUGAUUUUUUCAUUAAUAAAAUGACUUUGUGUCAGGAAUUUUGGACUGUGUACCAAAGAGCAAGAAUCGUGGAACACAUUGGUAUAAAUAACAUAACUGAUUAAACAAAUUUACACAAGCACGAACUUGUUAGAUUUAUGACAAUAUAUUGAGUUCAAAAAGUCGGCAAAUAUUCACUUAGAAAAUUUUACCCUUGCCGAUUGUUUUUUUGUUGUUGUUGACAAACAGCAAACACUCUCAGUCCCAAUACCCUCAAUAGAGUCAUUAAAAAACUUCUUUUUUUUAGUUCAUGUUUUACAUUAUAAUUAUAUUUGCAUCUUGAAGAAGAAUCAGAAAAGCACCA
rnacentral:lncRNA from 1 species